rnacentral:snRNA from 1 species
UAUACUAAAAAAAAAGAAAAAAAUUGGAACGAUACAGAGAAGAUUAGCAUGGCCCCUGCGCAAGG